GGGUCGGUGGCGUAGUUGGUUAUCGCAUCUGCUCACUGCUCAGGCCUCAGUUCGAGCCUGGGCCGACUCA